UUACAAGACUUCUGAUAUCGCGAGAGUGUGACGCGUCGUGUCUAUAAAAGGUCUCUGCGUCCGUCAUGACGUCCUCUUGAAGUCGUUACCUUCGCUUUGCGAGAAACGUCUCCAACAUGAGAGCGAAGUGGAGGAAGAAGCGUAUGCGCAGGCUGAAGCGUAAAAGGAGAAAGAUGAGGCAGAGGUCCAAGUAAAAUUGCAACCUCUCUGCUGCAGCUAAGAUCCUGAUCAUCUUGGAUUCCCUUUGAGAGUCUCCUGGAGAAGUCCAACUCGACGUGCUGUCCAUCUCCUGUGAAGCCAGCGUGGACCUGAGGAAGCUUACAUCUCCAGGCUGUCUGGUUGGGUGCUGGGCUUGAUCUAGUGGACUCUCUUGGACUUUCCAGACUUGCCAGUGCAGCGUCUUUGUUAAUACCUGUUCAAUAAAAAGUUUGGUGAAAAAUGUA